UACGGAGGAUGCGAGCGUUAUCCGGAUUUAUUGGGUUUAAAGGGUGCGUAGGCGGACGCUUAAGUCAGCGGUAAAAUUGCGGGGCUCAACCUCGUCGAGCCGUUGAAACUGGGUGCCUUGAGUGGGCGAGAAGUACGCGGAAUGCGUGGUGUAGCGGUGAAAUGCAUAGAUAUCACGCAGAACUCCGAUUGCGAAGGCAGCGUACCGGCGCCCUACUGACGCUGAGGCACGAAAGCGUGGGUAUCGAACAGG
rnacentral:rRNA from 1 species